UACGUAGGGUGCGAGCGUUGUCCGGAAUUAUUGGGCGUAAAGAGCUCAUAGGCGGCUUGUCGCGUCGAAUGUGAAAACUCGGGGCUCAACCCCGCGCUUGCAUUCGAUACGGGCAGGCUCGAGUUCGUAGGGGAGACUGGAAUUCCGUGGUGUAGCGGUGAAAUGCGCAGAUAUCAGGAGGAACACCGGUGGCGAAGGCGGGUCUCUGGGCCGAUACUGACGCUGAGGAGCGAAAGCGUGGGGAGCGAACAGG
rnacentral:rRNA from 1 species